GAAGUGGAGAGGCGGAAACGCGUCCACUCUCUGACACCAGCAUAAAGUCAGACCACCACCUAGCGACCCAGCGACAAAUCAGAAAAAAGGAUCGGGUGUCAGAAUAAUCCAGUACGUCCAUCUUUCACCAUCCCUAACUGCAGAUCUCGUGCUGCCGACACCAACCCCAUAAUGAUCCAGAUCUCUCCAUGGGACAGAUCGGUAGGAGAUGACAUCAGAGGUCGGCGUGCAGGGGACAGGGAGGUAGGAGAAGGGAUUGUGCUUUUUAAGUUGUCCGUCACAAGUCAACGCCGCUGUCGGGUGAGUGGUGUGUGAACGGGUCUUGCCGUGGAUUCCCAGAAGAACCAGUAGGAAAGAAUUAACAAUAGCUCCUUGGCGAAUCUCUUGAAUUAGACACAAUCGUGCCUCGCGGCGCUCUAAUGCCUGGAACUCCAUCCAAACCGCAAGACGAUCAGCCUAUCCCAGCCCGGUAUCAGCCCCGCCACCCUGCUUGCUGUCUACAUCUUGUUGACAGCAGGGCAUCAAUAACAACCAAGAGGCCGCAGUCAGUCAGUAAAUGUAAAAAAGGGUAAGGUGUAGAGGGAGCAGUUAGGACGGCCUCUUUUAUUAAAUUUUUUUGUAUGUUUACCCCCAUUAUGUGCGCCAUCUCCAUCCAACACAGCCCACGAAGAGUGUGUGUGUGUGUGUGUGUGUGUGUGUGUGUGUGUGUGUGUGUGUGUGUGUGUGUGUGUUUUUGUGUUUCUGUGUCUGUGCGUGUGUGUGCAUGCGCGUCUGUGUGUGUGUGUGUGGGGCUACCAGGGGAUGCUUGAGUUGAUGGUUGUUUCUCCAGGCGAAACACUUCUCAGCAGAGCCCCCCCCCCCCCCCAACACCACCACCCCCGACAUGUCAGGGAGCUCCAGAACGGUUCAUGCCACUUCUUGCUCGCUGCUCACUAUUUUCGGUUGUCAUAACACCUCCCCAGGGCAGUAGCCGGUGGUUUGUCUUUUUCUUCUCCUCACAGAUUUAGCCUGUUUUCAGAGGAGGAGACGAAGAAGGAGGGACAGACGGACGAUAGGGGGGACAGAGGGACACACAGAAUGGGGCCCGACGACCAGCCGUUUGGCUAUUCACGAGGCCUCCAGAGUGAAAGCGGGAGAGGAGAUGGUCUUAGCGGUGUUCCUCAACACCUGAGCACCACAGGCACAUACUGGAUUCCAGGACUCCAGGAGUGGAAGGCGGCAGAGGAGUAGAAGAGUAUGACCAUACGGCACGCAGAGAAGGGGGAGUGAGGCAGACGCUUAUCAAGUCAUAUCCCAGUGGCAGCAACGGCCAGGCUGCAGGUGCUCUCUGGUGGAGCAGGAAAGUCCCUGGGAACAGAACAGCACACAGAGCCACCCAGAACAUUCCGGGGACGAGGGAAGGGCUGCUAUUAGGUCUGAUGUACAAACACAUGUCCAUCGAAUGUCCAACAUGAUGCAAAGCUUCUGAGGCAAACCUCUUCAACCCUCGCCAAGGUUGUCAAUCUCCCGUCUAACACGCAACCGUUCUACUUUUCAAAGGAUGAACUGUUCGAUGCUCUACCUCAGACAGGGCCAUGUUAAAUAAACAUCAUUAUAAUCUGCUGUCUGCGGACCAAUGGAUGGCGGAACCCCACCUGAAGCUCAAGUCAGUCUGCCCGGGUCUCAGAGG